CCUACGGGAGGCAGCAGUGGGGAAUAUUGCACAAUGGGGGAAACCCUGAUGCAGCGACGCCGCGUGAGUGAAGAAGUAUUUCGGUAUGUAAAGCUCUAUCAGCAGGGAAGAAACCCACCCUCCGGGGUGGCUGACGGUACCUGACUAAGAAGCCCCGGCUAACUACGUGCCAGCAGCCGCGGUAAUACGUAGGGGGCAAGCGUUAUCCGGAUUUACUGGGUGUAAAGGGGGCGCAGACGGCAAUGCAAGCCAGGAGGGAAAGCCCGGGGCCCAACCCCGGGACUGCUCUUGGAACUGCAUGGAGGGAGUACAGGAGGGGCAGGAGGAAUUCCUAGUGUAGCGGUGAAAUGCGUAGAUAUUAGGAGGAACACCGGUGGCGAAGGCGGCCUGCUGGACUGUGACUGACGUUGAGGCCCGAAGGCGUGGGGAGCAAACAGGAUUAGAUACCCCAGUAGUC
rnacentral:rRNA from 1 species